CUCAGUGCUAACAUCCUCAUGUUAGCAGGCCCUAAUGUGAACAGUUAAGGUUUCCUGUAGGCUUUCUUCUUUAGUCAAGAUAUUUCGGUCUGGACCAACAUCACCAUGCCUAGAGGCCUGGCGUGGCUAAAAAUAGAAAAAGAUCCCCAGGACCAUCGUGAACGUGGUGCAGAUUCUUCCCAUGAAGCCUCUCAGAGAGGUUCAGAGACCAACUCUGGGCUGUCAGCUUCAAAAGAGUUUCUGCUCUUGCCUCAUCCAACCUGAAGAAAACUCCACCGAGCUGAAGGAGCUGGUUGAGAUUAACUAUGAAUUCCAGGUGUGUGCAAGCUAACAAGCUAACAACACUGACCCACUGGCUAAUUCUAAAUGAG